rnacentral:rRNA from 1 species
GACGAAGGAUGCAAGCGUUAUCCGGAUUCAUUGGGUUUAAAGGGUGCGUAGGCGGCCCGGUAAGUCAGUGGUGAAAUCUCGCAGCUUAACUGCGAAACUGCCAUUGAUACUGCUGGGCUUGAGUACAGAUGCUGUGGGCGGAAUAUGACAUGUAGUGGUGAAAUACAUAGAGAUGUCAUAGAACACCGAUUGCGAAGGCAGCUCACAAAACUGUAACUGACGCUGAGGCACGAAAGUGCGGGGAUCAAACAGG